rnacentral:lncRNA from 1 species
UAAUUUUGUAAUUUCAGGAUUUAUCGCCCAAGAGUUGCUUGUAGGUGAGUACAUCAAACCUUGGUAACUUUGUGAGUCUGUUUUAAUUCCACUAACUUUAGGGUUUUGUAACGAAGUCACUUACUGAAAAGCCUUCUCUUGCUUCUGGUAACUAUGCCUUUUUGGCCGAUACUAUCUGACACAAAUCUUCUGCUCUAGAUUGCAUUAUAUAGAGGGAUCAGAUGCAUAGCUGAAAUUCUUGGAAAUGUCUUACAUUUAUAAUGCUUUCAGAAAGUUCAAAUGUUGGAAGAUAGAGGACAACACUUUAUAAGUUAUUCUUCAGCCUCUAUAUUUCUGAUUCAAAUACAGAGUAUAAUUGAGUCAGGAUAUAUUAUAAGGCAUAAUAUAUUGAUUUUUUUUUUUGCUUCUGUGUAUAACUGACCCAAUGGGAAUUAUGAGAGGGAGAUGGAAAGUUCUGCACAUUUGGCCAGUUUUUAUCCCUAUGAAAUCUAUAUUCCUUCUUCUUUUCUUAUAAUGUUACAGUGCUUCUUAGAGUGCGCCCUGGUUCAGGACAUAGCUUAGCCAUUAAUCUAGUUAUUUAGUUUUCUCCCUGCUCUGUGGACCAGGCGUAUGCUAACGGCUCCUUUUACUUUAGAUUGAAUAAUUGGUAGGUGUUUAUCCAAGAGGUGUUGGCAUUUGCUGAUUUUUUUUAAAAAACUGUACUCAUUCAUUUCGACUUAUUGCUAUUCAGAAGGGUAGAGGUUAGAAUCACCUGAUCGUGUUGCCAAGAAUGCAAAGCGCUAUACCUCAUUCCUAGAGGGCCUGAUUUAUUAAAGCCAGGAUGGAGGCUGGGCACGGUGGCUCACUCCUGUAAUCCCAGCACUUUGGGAGGCUGAGGCUGGAGGAUUGCUUGAGCUCAGGAGUUUGAGACCAGCCUGAGCAACAUGGCGAAACACCAUCUCUCAAAAAAAAAAAAAAAAAAAAAAAAAAAAAAAAUAUAUAUAUAUAUGUUAGCUGGGCAUGGUGGCGAAUGCCUGUGGUCCCAGCUACUGGGGAGGCUGAAGUGGAAGGAUCAGUUGAGCUUGGGAGGUGGAGGUGGGGGUGGAGGUGGGGGUGGAGGUUGCAGUAAGCUGAGAUGGCACCACUGCACUCCAGCUUGGGCGACGGAGUGGGACCCUGUCGUAAAAAAAAAAAAUGCUGGGAUGGGAUUCAGAAAGCAUCCCCAUUUUUAAUAAACCCUCCUGGUGUUUCUGACAUAGGGGUUCCUUGGACCACAUUUUCAUAAAAUCUGGUUAAAAUUUUAAGAACACAAGGGUGAUUUAAAAUGUGAGUGUCCUUUUGAAACUUUUUAAAAUAUUGCUAAAUUAAUACAUGUUUAUUAUAAGACAAACAAUAUAAAAGUGUAUAACAUUUUUUAAGUGAAAUUUCAUUGUUUCUCCUCUCUUAAUCCCAAGAAUUACUGUUAAGUUUAUUGUACAUGUAGCCAGACUUUAAAAAAAUACACAUACAAUUAACAUAUGCAUAUAUCUAAUACUUGAUUUAUUUUAAAUAAAACCACAUUUUAUAUAAACUAUGCAUAAGUAAUUGCUUUUUUCCAUCUAUCUUUGUGAAACUGAUAUUAGCAUAUUUUGCCUAUCACUUCUUUUAAAUACAUGGAAGGUAUUUUUAAAAGUACACUUUAUUUUUUCAGAGCCAUUUUAGGUUCACUGCAAAACUGAGUGGAAAGUAUUAGGGUUUCCAUAUACCCCUUGUCUCAACACAUGCGCAGCCUUCUCCACUGUCAGUAUUGCCCACUAGAGUACAUUUGUUAAAUGGAUGACUCUAUAUUGACACAUCAUUAUCACAUAAGUUCAUCAUUUACAUAGGAUUCACUCUUCACGUACAUUCUAUGGAUUUUGACAAAUGCGUUGUGAAAUUUAUUUACCAUUACAGUAUCAUACAUAAAAUCAUACAUCAUAUCCUCUUUGCUUGCCUAUUUGACUCUCCCUCCACCCUGGCAACCACUGAUCUUUUUUUACUGACUUCAUGGUUUUGCCUUUUCCAGUAUAUCAUAUAGUUGGAAUCAUACAGUUUGAACACAAGUUUUCAGCUCCUUUGGACAAAUACCAAGGAACACAAUUGCUUGAUCAUAUGUUCCAGGUGUGUCUUUAUCAGCAGCAUGAAAAUGGACUAAUACAGAUCCUGACUUUUGUUUUCAAAACACUUUGCUUGAAGAGCUGAAUAUAAGUUGGCACCUCCCAUUUCUCUCACCUGGUUUGAAAUUCUUAUAAUAAAGCUAUGUGUUUAAAAAU